rnacentral:rRNA from 1 species
UACAGGGGGUGCAAACGUUGCUCGGAAUUAUUGGGCGUAAAGCGCGCGUAGGCGGCCGCUUAAGUCGGAUGUGAAAGCCCCUGGCUCAACUGGGGAAGUGCACCCGAAACUGAGUGGCUUGAGUACUAAAGAGGGUCGCGGAAUUCCCGGUGUAGAGGUGAAAUUCGUAGAUAUCGGGAGGAACACCGGUGGCGAAGGCGGCGACCUGGGUAGAUACUGACGCUGAGGAGCGAAAGCGUGGGGAGCGAACAGG